CCAGACUCCUACGGGAGGCAGCAGUGGGGAAUAUUGCACAAUGGGGGAAACCCUGAUGCAGCGACGCCGCGUGAGCGGUGAAGUAUUUCGGUAUGUAAAGCUCUAUCAGCAGGGAAGAAAAUGACGGUACCUGACUAAGAAGCCCCGGCUAACUACGUGCCAGCAGCCGCGGUAAUACGUAGGGGGCAAGCGUUAUCCGGAUUUACUGGGUGUAAAGGGAGCGUAGACGGUCCUGCAAGCCAGAUGUGAAAGCGCGGGGCUUAACCGCGGGACUGCUCUGGAAGCUGUGCAGCUAGAGUGCAGGAGAGGCAGGCAGAAUUCCUAGUGUAGCGGUGAAAUGCGUAGAUAUUAGGAGGAACACCGGUGGCGAAGGCGGCCUGCUGGACUGUAACUGACGUUGAGGCUCGAAAGCGUGGGGAGCAAACAGGAUUAGAUACCCGCGUA
rnacentral:rRNA from 1 species